CCUACGGGGGGCAGCAGUAGGGAAUCUUGCGCAAUGGGCGAAAGCCUGACGCAGCAACGCCGCGUGCGGGAUGAAGGCCUUCGGGUUGUAAACCGCUUUCAGGAGGGACGAAUCAAGACGGUACCUCCAGAAGAAGCCCCGGCCAACUACGUGCCAGCAGCCGCGGUAACACGUAGGGGGCAAGCGUUGUCCGGAUUUAUUGGGCGUAAAGAGCUCGUAGGCGGCUCAGUAAGUCGGGUGUGAAACCUCCAGGCUCAACCUGGAGACGCCACCCGAUACUGCUGUGGCUAGAGUCCGGUAGAGGAGUGUGGAAUUCCCGGUGUAGCGGUGGAAUGCGCAGAUAUCGGGAGGAACACCAAUGGCGAAGGCAGCACUCUGGGCCGGAACUGACGCUGAGGAGCGAAAGCGUGGGGAGCGAACAGGAUUAGAUACCCCAGUAG
rnacentral:rRNA from 1 species